rnacentral:rRNA from 1 species
UACGUAGGGGGCAAGCGUUAUCCGGAUUUACUGGGUGUAAAGGGGGCGCAGACGGCAGCGCAAGCCAGGAGUGAAAGCCCGGGGCCCAACCCCGGGACUGCUCUUGGAACUGCGCGGCUGGAGUGCAGGAGGGGCAGGCGGAAUUCCUGGUGUAGCGGUGAAAUGCGUAGAUAUCAGGAGGAACACCGGUGGCGAAGGCGGCCUGCUGGACUGCGACUGACGUUGUGGCCCGAAAGCGUGGGGAGCAAACAGG